rnacentral:rRNA from 1 species
CCAUUCACGUGCCCGGUUAUUCCAGGUGCGGAAGGGGGCCCGACCUCGAAUCUCUCUCUGCGUACGACUCCCUGUUGCUUCCCCGGGAGGGCGACAUGCCACCCGGGGAAGGGCCCCCCCCUGAGAGCACAACGAUGCCGACAAAUGCACCUGUAGAACUCACCACCCCGGCCGUCUGAUGCCCGGCGCACCGAUCAGGGCGCAGGGAGCCAGGACGUGGACCGCAAACGGAUAGAAAAAACUUUCAACAACGGAUCUCUUGGUUCCCGCAUCGAUGAAGAACGCAGCGAAAUGCGAUAAGUAAUGUGAAUUGCAGAAUUCAGUGAAUCAUCGAAUCUUUGAACGCACAUUGCGCCCCCUGGCAUUCCAGGGGGCAUGCCUGUUCGAGCGUGUCCGAGAAGUAGGCUCACGCGUGGAAACGCGUGGUUGUGGUGGCGGCGGCGGUCCCGACAGGGCGGCCAUCCCGGCGGAAUCGAUGGGCGGAUGCCUGCCGCUUCGCAGAGCGUGAUAUUCUUUGCUAUCGCCUCGAGGGCGGCGAGGUGUCCAGCCAGCGCAUCCAUGCACGGCGGGGAGAAUGUGACAUUGGAACUCCUCGAAU